AGCAGCCAAAGUUUCAACACAAGCUUCAUAUCACAUUAAAAAUGUUCAGAACGAGAUAUUAAGGUGUACAGCCUUGUGAGCGAAGUGAAGGACAGUUGACAGAUUGUGUGUGGUGCCCCAGCAGUUCAACAAAGGAACAGUUCCAAAUGCAGUUUACAGCCAAGUGAUCUAGAAAUGGGAUCUAGAUUAUGAGAACUAUGACUAAGAGACAUCUGAGAAAUAAAAAGCACCUAUAAUCAGAAUUGUAGCAAGCUUGUACCAUCUUUUUAAGGCAAGUGGUUCUUUCCAAUGUUACAUUUAACUACUUUAAUUUAAUUCAUUUCUUUUCAUGUAUGUUAAAAAAGAAUCAGUUUCUUACUACAGACCUAUCAAAGCAAGUAUAUUUUUUUUCUAUGUAUUUGUAUAUUUUAAUUGCAUUUUUUUUUAUUGCAUGCUAAUUGAAAAUGUUUUAAAUAUUUUCCUAACAAUUUAAGAAUAUUUGUUUUCUGUUAUCUCUUAGCCUUGUGGUAAUUAGUUUCAAAUGUAUACAUAACAACUUUAAUAAAUUUUCUCCACUUUAACAUUUAAAGAGCUAGAUCCAAUUGGGGAUUAUCUCAUUAUGAAGCUUAGUCAAAAUCCCAGUAUCUUCACUAAGACUUUUGAAUAGCAAUUUUUUAUUAGAUGCCAUUUAUUUGUUUAAAUGCUCAGCUACUUGAUAUCUGGUUGAAUUCAAAUGAUAAUAAUUGCAUCUUAAUGUGUAAUUAUACAAUUAUUUAUUUACCUUGUUGUUGUUUUUUUAAUCAGUUCAAGAUGUUGAGUAUUGAUUACUAAUCAACUACUAGCCUGGAAGAUAAAAGCCAAAGCUGUAAACAGACAGGUCAGGUAAAUAUAUGAAUGAAGAAAUUGAAACUAGAAGUAAACAUCAUGGGAAGUCUAAUUAUAGGGCAAGUAUUUUUCCUUCAUAUCUUAUUUAACAUAGUCAAACCAUGCAAUACUUAUAGGCUUAACUAUUGUUUUCAUAGAAACAAUGUUAUUUUAAAUAUCAUGAGAUAGCAACAAAUAUUCCUUGGUAAUCUGCUAUCAGAUGACAGUUAUCUCUUUGGCAUUUUUAUGAAUUAAAGCUUUCAAAGCCAAACUUCAGAUUUGCUUAGCAUAUUCCUGUACUACAUAUCAACAAAUAUUUGAUGGUUUGUCUGGUUCAUCUCUUAACACUAUGAAGAUGGCUACACUAAUCUUAACAAGCAAACAUUCUGUUGCCAACAGUACCAAUUUGUCAUCCUAUCCAAGCAACUACUAUUCCUUGGUAAUCUGCUAUCAGAUGAUUACAGUUUUCUCUUUGGCAUUUGUAUGAAUUAAAGCUUUCAAAGCCAAACCUUAGAUUUGGUUAACAUAACCCUGAACUGCAUAUCAACAAAUGUCUAAUGGUCUGUCUGGUUCAUUUCUCAAGACUAUGAAGAUGGCUACACAGGUAUCAGCUAUCAGCAGUGCACCCCUAUGAUACACAAGUCUUCAUUGCCAAGUCACUCUGCCAAACAGUGUGUACACCUUUCUUGCAUUGGUAGUGACCCACUUUACUGUCAUGAGUCUGGAUAUGUCAGGCCAAGGAGAUCAAGUUUGUGUCCAAGGUUACUUAGUUAAUUCUCUAAGAACAAUAGACAGACUCUACAUGCUACUGAUCUGGAGGUUAGUGGCUCAAUCAUUGUGCACUGAUUCUUCACUGAUGCCUUGAUUCCCCACUGUCAACUUUAUUGUCAUAAAGUUUAUCUAGUGAUCUACAUAUCAAGACUAAAUGGUCAAUUAAACAUGAGGUCAAGGAAAAAGGAUGAACAUUUCAAGGCUACUGAUGGAACAUUAAACGUCUCUCUCACUGUGAAAAGAUUCUACCGAUCUACAAAUGAUCAACAUGUUUUAUCUUAAGUUCGUCUGCCAUUUCUUCAAAUGGAGCCAUAUUAAG